UACGGGGGGGGUAAGCGUUGUUCGGAAUUACUGGGCGUAAAGGGCUCGUAGGCGGCCAACUAAGUCAGACGUGAAAUCCCUCAGCUUAACUGGGGAACUGCGUCUGAUACUGGAUGGCUUGGAUUCGGGAGAGGAAUGCGGAAUUCCAGGUGUAGCGGUGAAAUGCGUAGAUAUCGUGGAGAACACCCGUGGCGAAGGCGGGCUUCUGGCUAAUAACUGACGCUGAGGUGCGAAAGCUAGGGGAGCGAACGGG
rnacentral:rRNA from 1 species